CGGUCACCCGGGGCGGAUCAGAGCUCCUGGUAGGGAGCGCGGCGCUGGCAGUGAGUCUUCAAGUGACGGAUUUCCGAACGCCCACGGGUGUGGUUGGGAAAGACCCGCCGGUUUCUAGGCAGAGAUCCCUCCAAGGCAGGCCUGUGACCUUAAGCUAGCUGAUUUUGUCUCUAAUUCUCCACAUACCUGUUUGCCAGUGACCCGGGCUUCCUCUGCCAUUGUCUUCGGAGUCUCUUGGGUGUCGACACAGCGACUAGUGAACGAAAUGCAAUCAAAAGGGAUUAGAUGAUCCGAGGCCAUGCAAAAUGUGCCAGUCAGGGAGAACCGGCCCAAGGAGCAGGACUUAGCUGGGAGAGGAGAGCUAAAAUUCAACUGUCCUGUUACAGCAAUAGGCAGCGGAUGUGCAUGUGCAGGCUAUAAUCUCAGUGUUACAAAGUUGCAUUUAUAUUUAGAGUUAUUAUGUUGGGUUUUUGCAGGUUUUGAAACUAGAGUCCAAUUUGUUGAGAUGUCAAAAGCAACUAAAUUUAACAUAUCCUGGAUCCUGUUUUCCAUCAGGUGGAUAGGCUUCCUCAUUUUACAUUUUCAGUGUUUUCUUAGUCAUUCUUGCGUAUUCAUUUUUCAUUCAGACUUUACUAUCAAUUUAUGUCAUUUAGAAAUAUCAUUUAACAAGGGGUAUCAUUUGUAAAUAAAAACGUAGUUGCCCAUCUGUUAAGGCACCUUUGUGGCUUUGAGAGAUUAGAUGGAUAGAUAAACAGCUUGGUGGAACAGGAUCAAGGAAGGACAUGAUAUAUUAUUAGCAGUAUUUGCUUGGCCUUAGCCUUGCAUGCUCUCUGGAAUCCUGUCAGAACGCCACGUCGCCUGAGAAGCUGUAAAUGGCACCCACAGUGCUGUUGAUAGUGGUAGGUGUGCCUUCCUGGAGCAAGACUAACAACACGGGUGUGUUCUCUAGUUUUCAUACUUCCAGCUUGGAAAGUACCGAGUCUUAAGUGAAGAAUUCAGAGCCUGCCCACAAUGGGGUUGCCCAGAAUCUCUUGACCUUUACAUGUGCAAGUCCCUGGGGUAGAAGCAUUCUCUUAGAAAGAAAUUGGCGGCUACAGCAGUCAAUAAAGAGCAUAUUGUCCAGAA
ensembl:lincRNA Gm37748 predicted gene, 37748